CCUGUUCCUCACGGUCUUGCGUCACUUCCGGCUUCCCCUCCACCUUUUUCUAGGCUUCGCCUCUAGAGACGUCGGAGGGUGGUAAGGACCGGUUUUUGUGAAAUUCCGUACGGCCUCACAUCCAAAUUAUCUAGGCCCUUUUUCUCCAAUGGCUUAGCAUCCGUCGCGCUUUCCAUGGCUCAGCGAAGCAGGUGGAGGUUCCAGGACUGCAGUUUGCGUUUUGUUCUUAAACACAUUUGGGAAAUUACCCUGACCCUGUCUUACCUCUCGUGAAGUACAAGACAAAAAGCACCAGUUAUGCCUGAAGAUUCACAGCUAAUGAAGAAACUGCUCACAUUUGGCCAAGAUCACAUAAUAGGAAGUGGGGAAUUGGAACUCACUCUGACUGACUCCAAAUUAAUAGAGAGUUUGUAGCCACUUACAUAAUAAUGGUAAAGGUUUCAUUUGUUGCUAUAUGGGUAAAUUCAUUGAGGGUCAGCACAUCCUCAAAGGAUGCACAAAUGGCAGGAAGGAUUAGAAAAGAAAACCAAAACAGCAGAGAAGCAGAAAACAGAAAAUUUCCCAAAAUAAACUUAAAGGAAUUAAAAAUAAGAUAUUCAUGAAAUAGAAAAUAAAAUUGAUGGUAAUGCCUUCUGUUUGAAAAGGACAAUAAAUAGACACUUAACAAAUCUAAAGAAAAGAAAUAUUUGGAAAAAAGGGAACAUACUACAGAUAAGAGGGACUUCGAAAAUUGGAGGUGAAUCUAGAAUAGUCUUAUAUGGAUAAUCUUGAAAAUUGACCUGGACAAUUUUCUAGGAAAAUACACAUCCCGAAAAAUUGGCUCUACAGUUAGAAAACCAUAAUGAACUGAUAAUCAUGAAAGAAUGCCCUAUAUAUCCCUGAUGAAGGUCACCAGGAACAAAGCAUAGAGAUGAAUGGGAGUGUGUCCCAACUAUGAAAGGAACAUAACCAUAGCAGAAUCUAAAAGAUAGUAAAAUAAAAUAUAGCUCAGUCUCACUUAAAAAUACAUGCAAAAAAAAAAACCUAGCAGUGCAUUUAGAGAAUAAUGUCAUAACCAAGUUGGGUUAAUCGUACCUGUACAAGGAUGGUCAACAUUAGACAGGUAAUGAAAAUUUUCUACAUUAGUAGAUAAAGGGGAAAACUAUAUAACUUUAAUUGAUACUGAAAAAACACUUGAGAAAUUAACAUCUAUUACUGAUUUAAAAAAAAAAAAUUUUAUAAUAAGGAACAAAAGGAAGUUUGCUUAACUGGAUGAAGGGUAUCAACCAGCAAUAAAGAAACUUAAUUUCAUGAUCCAGGUUAUAUUUUCUGUCAUUCAUACAAUUCAACAUUGUUCUGAGAAUUUUGGAUCCAGUAUAGUAUGGAUCCAGUAAGUGAGAUAAGGUAUGAAAUUAGCAAGAAAUUAAGAUAAAUUAUAUCGUUUACUUGGAAGCGCCCCCAGAUGAUUUUUUGUAAACGAUAUAAUCAACUUUUAAAUGUAAAGAACUCAAAUUAGCACCAACAAUGGUGAAACAUUCUAGAAAUCUAUCAAGAAAUAAGCCAAACCUACAUUAAAAAUACGUAAAACUAGGGUGCCUGGGUGGCUCAGUGGGUUAAGCCACUGCAUUCAGCUCAGGUCAUGAUCUCAGGGUCCUGGGAUCGAGUCCCACAUCGGGCUCUCUGCUCAACAGGGAGCCUGCUUCCUCCUCUCUCUCUGCCUGCCUCUCUGCCUACUUGUAAUCUCUCUCUGUCAAAUAAAUAAAAUCUUAAAAACAAAAAAAAACGUAAAACUAGAAUUAGAAUAAAUGGAAAGAUACGCUUUAUUCCUAGGUGAGUAGGCUCAGUGUUUAAAGAUGAGAUUCUCCUCAGAUUAUAAAUUCGUUGCAUUUCAAUUAAAAAUUCUAACAAUUUUUAAUGGAAAAAAAAGGCGAUUUUAUUUUUUUAAAGAAAAGCCAUACUUUUUUUUUUUUUAAGAUUUUAUUUAUUUAUUUGACAGAGAUCAUAAGUAGGCAGAGAGGCAGGCAGAGGGGGAGGGGAAAGGAGGCUCCCUGCUGAGUAGAGAGCUUGAUGUGGGGCUGGGUCCCAGAACCCUGAGACCAUGACCUGAGCCAAAGGCAGGCGCCCCACAAGAUGGUUUUUUUAUCUCAAAGAAUGUAGGUGCAAGAUUAACCAAAAUGGUUUUUUUAAAAUAAGAAUGAGAACUCACCCAAAUACCCAUCAGAACUACAAAGCUAGGGUAUGUAUAACAGGUAACUGGAAUAGGACUGGAUAAGUAGUGGAACAAACUAGAAUUCAGAAAUAUAUGUAUACACUUAUAGCGGUAGCAUUUCAGAUACAGAAAUGUAAGCUCUUCAUUUUCAUAUGCAAAAAUUUCAGAGUUAAAGAUACUAUCAAAGUGCUAGAAGAAAAUACAGGAAUUUGCUGUUUAUAUUUUAGGAAGUCCUUCUUAAGUAAUAUCAGCCCCAGGGAUCACAGAGAAAACAAACAUUUAAAAGAUACAUUACCAUGAAGUUUAGACCAGAAGUAGACAAUGUUUAUCAUCAAGUCUGAGAAAGAGUAACUCUAGAAAAACUAAUGAGCAAAAAUGAUGAAAAAUACCAAAAGUAAGUACACCUGAAACUAAUGAAUGUUGUACAUCAACUGUACUUCAAUUUGGGGGGGGGGUUGAACAAAAUUUAUUGAACUCAUUAGGAAUGCUCUGCACAGCACUAUGAUAAAAACUAAAAGAUAGAUAAUGAGUGCUAAAAGAGGUCUGAAGACCCUGCUGGUGAGAGAUUAAAUUGGAAUGACCCAGGAAGGACAGUUUGGCAGUAUCUGUUGAAACUCUAAACAUAUGUUACCCUUCAGUCAGAAACUAUCCAGUUGUAAAAUCUUCAAAAUAAUGUUCUGUUGUAGUAGGUUAGUCAUUGCAAAGUGUUAUGGUUGUAAAUAAUUAGACACUUUAAUAUCCAUCAGUGAAACAGUGCUGAAUUAUGCUACAUGCCUAUGAAAUACACAGUUGUAGAAAUGAGUUCUACAUUAUUAACAUAGAAAAAGAUAAAGUGAAUGAAAGGCAAUAUAUAUGCAAUCUUUUAGUUUAGUUUUGUUUUUUUUUAAGAUUUUAUUUAUUUAUUUGACAGACAGAGAUCACAAGUAGGCAGAGAGAGAGAGGAGGAAGCAGCCCCCCCCCCCCCCCCCGAGCAGAGAGCCCGAUGUGGGGCUCGAUCCCAGGACCCCGGGAUCAUGACCAGAGCCGAAGGCCGAGGCUUUAACCCACUGAGCCACUCAGGUGCCCCUCAUUUAGUUUUUUAAAGUUUUUUUUCAAAGAAUGUAGAAGAUUAAAACUCAGUAUAGAACAAGAAAGAUGUAAAAGACUUUUCUAUAUUUUUUAAUUUUACAAAAAUUCUAAGUAAAAAUACAGAAGCACAGGAAAACAUCUAUUGUUAUAUAAAACAAAAGUAUUUCUUAUGAGCACAUGGGUCAGGAAAAGAUUAAGAAGCUAAGAAAAACACUGGUUUGGCAGUUACCAAUUAUUGGUAACACUCAGAGGAGUCAAGAUAUAAAAACCCCGGAUGCACAGGAUGUCAAGGUAAGUGAGGAACUGACUGAAGGAAAUGUCUCAUGUGAACCAUUCCAGAACACACUGAAGUGGGAAUCUUGGCAUUCUAGAGAAAUGGAGCUCUGUGUAAGUAGGAAACUUAAGGUUCCAUCUCUUAGUUUUUCCAGAGGGCUCUGCCUAAAUCCCCCAUAAAUCAGCUUUUUGCAUUUAGUGCCAGAGGAGGGAGCAGAGCCAACCCCAGGCCAAAAGUUCAAUUAAAUGUGUUUUGGUAACCAACUUCCUUAUGCCUAAAUAGCUAAAUACUCUUCUCUUGCUUCCCAGGCAUUCUUGUUCUCCUUUAGUUGGACACCUCUCCAAACUUUCACCCCGCAGUGCUUUUUUGCUCUUGUUUAACUUGCUCUUUCCCACCUGCACAACUCUGUAUAGGAUUAGGAGGAAACCCUACUUUGAGAGAAGUUCAGUUCCCCCCCUUUUUUUUUUUUAGCCUGACUCCAUUUCUACCUUCAGAUUACCUCUUCUUUAGUCUGCUAAAAACUUUUCACUUGCCAGCACAGUGAGAUGCCAAGUAUUUUUCUGAAAAUUUUGUAUAAACUUCUUGUAGCAUUUAGUAGUUGCUAAACAGGUUGUAAACAAAGUUUGUUUGGGAAAACAAAACAAAUGGUCUAUUUGGGGUUUAGUUUUUACUUGAAAAUCUGAAUUUUUAUUAUAUAGGUAGGUCUUUUUUUUUUCUGAAGCUUAUUUUUAGUUAAGUAACAGAUAACUAUAGUAUUUUCCAGAACAGUAAAGUUAAAACUAGGUUUUAAGUAAGCAGAUUAUGUUAAAAUCAGAACAUAGAGGGUACUAACAAUGAAAUUUUCAGGUUUUGGGAAAUGUUAGUUCUCACAAACUUCAGCUGUUACUUCAAAAAAUAUUUCAUCUUACAUGAGGCUUUCUUGGGUUUUCCUUGCUACACUUUCCAGUGUAGCUUACUAACUAGUUUUAAUUCCCAUUGAUCUGUGUUGACUAUUACUUUUCCAUCUUUUGGGGCUACAAAGUCAUUGUUGUUUCCUAGAUCAGUUAUCAGAUCUAGCUAUUAAGUUACCCAAGGGUUUUUUAAAGUUAAGAUAUAAUUGACAUUAUUUGCAUGUUGGAGCUUUCUAAAUGGUAGAGGGAUCUCAGAGUCUGCUAAAUGAGAUCCUUCAGAGACCAUCUGUUCUUAAUAUUUGCUGAUGGUAAUGCAGUGAAAUUUGGGGGCCACACAUCUAAAUCACUGCCCAGUAUCCAACCUCCUACCUCGAAGAAAAACUAGGAAUUGGAUUUUCAGUUCCAACUAUUAAGUACCUGUGAUCAUCUCGGAGGAAGUAUUACCCCUCUGCCACUUCAAAGCUAAUUCCUUUUGUGCUAUUGAUAAAUCUCUGGUCUGUCAGUCAUCUCUCUUCAACAGGUCUCCAUUGAACUCCUUUUAACAUGUAUGGUAGACAUCUUUUUCUCUCAUUCUAACUACAGUUAAAUGAAGAGUAGCUCAUAAAAUUUUGUCACCGCUCACCCUCACUACCCCAUUGCAACUAGUGUUAACACCCAUAAUACUCACCUGUUCUUCAAUUUUUAGGGGUUCUUUAUCAUCCCGUAUUUCCUUGGCUUUGUUUACUGCCUUUUUUCAACCAUUAUGGAUUUUGUGGAUUUUUUUUUUUCCCUCAGUAGUACUUCUUUCCCACCCUCCCAUUUAAGAGUUUAAUGUUUGCUCCUCAAGGACCUUUCCGUGAUCCUCUUCCUUUAUAUGGAUAUUCUUCAUACACUGGUAGAUGUGAAUGUCCCCUUUCUUCAGUCAGAUACUUGUUUCGUUGUUUUGUUUUAAGAUUUUAUUUAUUUAUUUGACAGAGAUUACAAGUAGGCAGAGAGAAAGAGGAGGAAGCAGGCUCCAUGCUGAACAGCCCAAUGCGGUCUCGAUCCCAGGACCCUGAGAUCAUGACCUGAGCCAAAGGCAGAGCCUUUAACCCACUGAGCCACCCAGGUGCCCCUCUGAUCAAAUACUUUUAAGCAUUUGAUACAAGUUACGAUCCCCCCCCAAAAGAAGACAACAGAAAAUUUUGCCUGUUUUUGGAUUCAGACCCCAGCACUUCUUCCAUGAGUGUUGAUUUACAUUUGGAAGUUCAGCUAUCACAAUGUGUUCUCACUUCUCAAAUCCAGUGGACACCUACCGGUUUUUCUUAUUGGACCUUUUAUAAUAAUUGUAUUGACAGUCAACAAUCUCAUAAAUUUCUGUUCACUUGAUUCUUUAAAAAGAUGCAGAUAGGAUUUGUUUAAAUUUCUGGUGGCCCCCAUGCUCACCAUUCUCCUAAACCCAAAUACCACCACCUCUGAAGUCUUCCUUAACCCAAUUCCAGGUAGUCUGAUGUACCUACUCAAGGAAUGCUUUGUAAUUACAGAAAUACUACAGAAUAAAAUGAAGCAAAGCUAGGUCUACAUUCCUAUUCUACAACUUUCUCAGUGAUUCAAUCUGUACAUAGUAGAUAAUAUCUACUAUGUAUGAUUAUAAAUACCAAAGAAGAAACAUCUAAAAAAUUUGCCAAUGCCUACCACACAGUAAAUGUUCAACAAACUGGCUUUCAUUGUUUUAUAUGCCCCUCUCCU